rnacentral:tRNA from 1 species
GAACGUAUGGCCUAGUGAUCAGAGCGCUUUGACGGUUUCCAAAGAGUCGCGAGUUCAAAUCUCGCUACGUUAA